GCCCCUUCCCACCCGGCCUGCUCUGUCUGAACGGCUGGCUCGGCUCGGGAGGAGGAGCAGGAGCAGCUGAGAUGCUGGCAGAAACCCCCUCGGCAGGAGAGCUGGCCACCAGAGCAACGGCCGCCCCCCGGUGCCAUACAGUUCCUCCUCUCCAGCGCGUGCGCCUCGAGCACUCGGGCCAGGCUGCAUCCGCAGGGCCCUCUCAGCGCCAGGCCGGCGGGAGUAAGGAUCGAGGAGGCCCGUCUGAAAAACCAGGCCCUCUGCUGCCCUGAGCUCCCCAAAGAGAGCAGAAUUUAUGGUAACAGACAAUUAACAACAAAGGACAACCAAGGCGAGCACCGAGGGUCCCUGCCCGGUUGCCAGGAUGAUGGGAUGGAGUUCCAAGAUCAACAGUGGAGCGUGCUGCCUGCAUCCUCGCAGCGACAGUGACGACAGGAGGAGACUGGAAGGUGGGGAUCAAGGGGGCCAGGAGCCUCAGCAGGGACAGCAGCCUCUCCCUGGGUUCUCCCUCCUGAACUCUCAAGGGCCAGCGAGGAAUGAGGGACAGAAGGUGAAGAAAAUCAUCUUCAAAGCAAGAGAAGCAAAAAUAUCCAGAGCCAAAUACUGCAAGGGCCAAUAAUCCGACAACUUCCUCUGUGCAGUUAAAAUUUCCACACAGAGCCUCCAAGUAUAGUUUUUAUAUUACAAAAAGAAAAGACUAACAUGGUGGUCUGCACAAGCGUGGCAGUCUGUCUGAACUGAUCCUGAAACAACAGUCCAGCCACUGCAGGGCCGCUGAUGCACGUCUCCUCUCCAAGACCCUGUGAAAGUUGAAAGAGGGGAAGACACAGCAAGAAGAGAGCUAAGGGAGCACUGAGAAGGAAGAAGGCCAUGCUGAGGACCGGGCCUCCCACGCUGUGCUGAGCUCCUCGUUUUUGGAAAGGGCUCAGCACUACCUAGACAGUGUUACAGGUGACAGGGUAGGUUGAGUGGUACUAGCUUUGCUUUUUAUCUUAAAAUCUCAGCUUCAUAAGCUGUAAAAUCUCAGAAUUAAAACCCAAUCUGUCUCAAACGCAGUCUAGCUCUUGCAGUUCUUCUUUUUUAGUUUUGCUUGCCAUUUUAUGAAAACAUCUCCAUAAAAGAAAGUUAAAAUAAAACUGUGUAAAACAGCAGGAAGAUUGGGCCCUCGGGAGAGGCGAUGGGACGACUCGGGCCAGGCGUGUCUGUCCACAGCCUGAAGCCCCACUUCCUCUCUGAUCAUCUUUAUCUCCACAGAUGUAGCCAACUACUUCAGAAUCCAGAAUCCAGAGGUAACCCAGGAGGCAGGAUUUGCUUUAUUUGUCAGAAUUCUUUACACUC